UACGUAGGGGGCAAGCGUUAUCCGGAAUUAUUGGGCGUAAAGAGUGCGUAGGUGGUUAUGUAAGCGAGAGGUGAAAGGCUACGGCUUAACUGUAGUAAGCCUUUCGAACUGCGUAACUUGAGUGCAGGAGAGGAGAGCGGAAUUCCUAGUGUAGCGGUGAAAUGCGUAGAUAUUAGGAGGAACACCAGUGGCGAAGGCGGCUCUCUGGACUGUAACUGACACUGAGGCACGAAAGCGUGGGGAGCGAACAGG
rnacentral:rRNA from 1 species